CCCUUAGAUGUUCUGGGCCGCGCGCGCUACACUGAUGCAUUCAACGAGUCUAAAACCUGCUCUGAUAGGGGUGGGUAAUCUUUUGAAUGUGCAUCGUGAUUGGGAUAGAUGAUUGCAAUUUUUCAUCUUCAACGAGGAAUGCCUAGUAAACGCAAGUCAUCAGCUUGCAUUGAUUACGUCCCUGCCCUUUGUACACACCGCCCGUCGCUCCUACCGAUUGAAUGAUCCGAUGAAUAUCAUGGAUUGAGGAUGCAAGUAGGUUCGCCUAUCUUCAUCUUCGAGAAGUGAAGUAAAUCUUAUCAUUUAGAGGAAGGAGAAGUCGUAACA
rnacentral:rRNA from 1 species